rnacentral:rRNA from 1 species
CAGGGAGGUAGUGACAAGAAAUAACAAUACGGGGCUUAACGUCUUGUAAUUGGAAUGAUGGGAAUCUAAACCUCUUCCAGAGUAUCAAUUGGAGGGCAAGUCUGGUGCCAGCAGCCGCGGUAAUUCCAGCUCCAAUAGCGUAUAUUAAAAUUGUUCAGUUAAAAAGCUCGUAGUUGAAUUUCUGCCGCCCCGCCUCUGCCCCUCGACGGGCGUUUGCGCCGCGGCUUUUUCGGAUUAUGCUUGCAUUUUCCGAGUGUUACUUUGAGAAAAUUAGAGUGCUCAAAGCAGGCUUUUGCCUUGAAUAGUUUAGCAUGGAAUAAUAAAGUAGGACUUUGGUUCUAUUUUGUUGGUUUUAGGUACCAAAGUAAUGGUUAAUAGGAACA